rnacentral:misc_RNA from 1 species
AAACCAAACCAAGUUACUAAAUAAAUUACUCAGGACAAGCUAAGAUCUCAACCAACCAAACAGUCACUACAAAAUCAAGUAACAAAGUUCUUUAAAAUGUCUAUUAAGUAGAAAUCAAAAAACAGAUGACAAGAGAGCUUCACCCAGGUUCAGUUGAUCCAUGCAUCCUCAAAUGUUGCUUGGAUACAUAAACACCCUAACCUUCGAACCCAUUGCUUUCGGUGGCAGGUUCGACUUAAACUUGGCCCUGACAACCCCACUGUUCCCAUGAGGACGAGCAACCUUCCCCCAAAUGCACCGAUAAUGCGAUCCGUUCUUCUUCACCUUCGCCCUG